CAAAAGGUAAUUUAAAUAAAAUACAAGCUUUGGGAGCUUACAAUGGAUUCUCAUAAUCCCCAUUUGA
rnacentral:tRNA from 1 species